UGGCCACGUCACAUUGAAAUAUCGGUUCCCGUACGAUCACCGAAGUUAAGCAAUGUUGGACCUGGUCAGCAUUUAGACGAGUGACCACUUGGGAAUACCAGGUGUUGUAA